rnacentral:rRNA from 1 species
GACAGAGGAUGCAAGCGUUAUCCGGAAUGAUUGGGCGUAAAGCGUCUGUAGGUGGCUUUUUAAGUCCGCCGUCAAAUCCCAGGGCUCAACUCCGGAUCUGCGGUGGGUACGGGCAGACUAGAGUGUGGUAGGGGAGACUGGAAUUCCUGGUGUAGCGGUGGAAUGCGCAGAUAUCAGGAGGAACACCGAUGGCGAAGGCAGGUCUCUGGGCCACUACUGACGCUGGAGAAGCGAAAGCAUGGGGAGCGAACAGG